GGCCAGACUCCUACGGGAGGCAGCAGUGGGGAAUAUUGGGCAAUGGGCGCAAGCCUGACCCAGCAACGCCGCGUGAAGGAAGAAGGCUUUCGGGUUGUAAACUUCUUUUGACAGGGAAGAGCAGAAGACGGUACCUGUCGAAUAAGCCACGGCUAACUACGUGCCAGCAGCCGCGGUAAUACGUAGGUGGCAAGCGUUGUCCGGAUUUACUGGGUGUAAAGGGCGUGUAGCCGGGCUUACAAGUCAGAUGUGAAAUCCGGGGGCUCAACCCCCGAACUGCAUUUGAAACUGUAGGUCUUGAGUAUCGGAGAGGCAGGCGGAAUUCCUAGUGUAGCGGUGAAAUGCGUAGAUAUUAGGAGGAACACCAGUGGCGAAGGCGGCCUACUGGACGGUGACUGACGCUGAGGCUCGAAAGCGUGGGGAGCAAACAGGAUUAGAUACCCCAGUAC
rnacentral:rRNA from 1 species